rnacentral:rRNA from 1 species
AAGUCCUGUUUGAUUUGGGAGUGCUCGAAAGUCCCCGAUACACAGGUGCUGCAUGGCUGUCGUCAGCUCGUGUCGUGAGAUGUUGGGUUAAGUCCCGCAACGAGCGCAACCCUUGUCCUUAGUUGCUACGCAAGAGCACUCUAAGGAGACUGCCGGUGACAAACCGGAGGAAGGUGGGGAUGACGUCAAGUCCUCAUGGCCCUUAUGGGUAGGGCUUCACUUUUUUUUUUUGGUCGGAACAGAGGGUUGCCAACCCGGAGGGGGAGCUAAUCCCAGAAAACCGAUCGUAGUCCGGAUUGCACUCUGCAACUCGAGUGCAUGAAGCUGGAAUCGCUAGUAAUCGCGGAUCACAUGCCGCGGUGAAUACGUUCCCGGGUCUUGUACACACCGCCCGUCACACU